ensembl:lncRNA
GGGGGACGUGCGGGGGGGUGCGGGAAGAUGUGCGGGGGGGUGCGGGAGGACAGGGGGAUGCGGGAAGGUGUGCAGGGGGAUGCGGGAGGGUGUGCAGGGGGUGCGGGAGGAUGUGCAGGGGGAUGCGGGAGGGUGUGCAGGGGAGUGCGGGAGGGUGUGCAGGGGAGUGCGGGAGGAUGCAGGAGGGUAGGGGGUUGCAGAAGGACGUGCAGAAGGACGUGGGAAGAUGUGCGGAGGGAUGCGGGAAGACAGGGGGAUGCGGGAGGAGAGAGCGAUGGGAGCAGAUGUGCGGAGAGGGCUGUGGUCUGCGGGAGGACAGAGGGAGCCCCGCUGGGCCAGGGUUUCUGCUGCGGGAGCAGCUCUGCUUUCCAGCGCUCUCGCUUUCCCAUGGGGAUUUUAAAAUUUGUGUCGGCUCCCCGGCUCGGCUGAGAGCACGGUGCGUUGCGGCAGCAGGGCAGGAGCGAGCUGAAGGCCAGGCGAGCGCUCAAGGCUGCUGCUGCAGCCUCCACUCGUGGCCCGGAGCUGCGGCUCGAUCCACCCCACCACCGGCUGGGUUGCUUCAUCAGGUCACUGUAUAAAUAUUGAAUGCUGUGGAAGAGCGGAUUCAUCCUUGCAAGACUCACAAGACCUGCAAAGUGAGAACACAGGAGGUGGAAGAACAGUUAUCCAUAGCAACCCUUGGAAACAAAGAGAGAGGUGAAGGCAAAUGCAGGCUAAUUAUAAAUAUCCAUUUCUGAUCUAUAUACAGCCUAGUAACAUGUACAGUGAAAUUUAUUAUAGGAAAUAAUUUAUGCUUGCACAGUGGAAAAAUGAUAUAUAUUUAAUGGCCUUUGCAUCUAAUUAUCAGGCAACUUUCUAAACAAAGCUCAAAGCUGACCAUUUUUUAUACUCAAAAUCUCACUCUGGUCUGGUUGAAGCAAGACAGAAACAGGUACCAGAGAUCUCAAGAAAACAGUUUAUUUCUCUCUAGCCAUGUCAUUUUAAUCUCCUAAUUGUAAAACUUACAUAUGCCUUUCUAAAAUCUGUAUUUGGAUAGGUAAUUCUAAAUGCACUUGAUCUGCCUUAUUCGCUUGCCAUAUAAUAGUUGUAGUGUUCUUAAGAAUUAGUCAUAGACUAAAAUAAUAAGCAUGGCGCCGAUAAAUAUUACAUUUGCAAAUACCUUGAAAAUGGAGCCUGACUUCACUAAUGUCUUAUAAGAUCACUUGAUGCAAAAAAUCUGCAUUAUCUAGUUUACAAACAUUUUGAAUGAAAACUUAAAGGUACCUCAAAGAUAACAGCUGUUAUCAUUAGUUGAAUGGAAAAAUUAAAUGACCUUUCUUAAACCAUUACAUAUAUGCAUUAUAUAAACUCCUAAGGUCCAUCUAGUCUUCUGAGACUGAGUUUUGUUGUGAUAGCAUCAUUGCACCUGCCAAAGUUGUGUCAUCAUGUUUGCGGUAUUGCAAAACAACAUGCUUCGGGUUAGAUUGGCUUGUACAUUGCAAUACUGCAGUAUUACUGAUGUCACAGCUGUCUGGUGUCUCACGAACACCCAAAUUGCUUAGGAGGAACCUCAGGCUUAUGUGGCAUUUCCUCCAACAAACUCUGCUCUUCUUCAUCAGUCUUAUCCAACUCCAAUCUAAGCACUCAUAGUACUUCUAGUUCCACACUUGUUGGCUGCAUUGCUUAAUUCAGGCAAGGUGUGAGAGCUGGUAUAAAAAGUGUACAGGCUGCUUUAUCAAAGUAACUCUGCUUGGGUAGAGUAUGGGUGUUCAGGAUCAGUCAAGAGGUAGGAGCAGUAUUUUAUAGACUUAUGUAGGGCUCCUACCCAGAGGAAGGGAUGAGUGAUUGAGGUAAGUCUCUUGGAAGUGAGUAAGCAAAGUUGGUAGGUGUUCCACCAUUUUUUGCAGGGGUGAUGGACCUUUUCUGGUUAGGAUGGGUUUCUCCCUGAUCUGAAGGGGAAAAAAAAUGCCUGUGCCUGAUAUAAAGGAGUGUAUUGUUUUGUUUCCUCUCUAACGGCUUGUAUUCCUCUGUUAUGUUUGUUUUAUGUACGUAAAAUAAAAAUGAUAUUUUUUUUAAUUAGAGCAGUUGUUGGAGUGUUUUAUCUAGGCUAGAGGAAAAUGAGAUCAUUUUGUAUCUGGCAGAGAAUAAGAACACAGUAGCUGUGCCCAGAAGGUAAUCUGAAGCUCCUUUUAAAAUAGUUGGGAGAGCAGGGUGGAAGUUUUUUACCAACAGCUGUAUCAGACCCUGAGGCAACAGCAGUAAUUCUGCUUGGCAGAAGCACUAUAGAGAUCCACUUUGCCAGCAACUGAAGCAGUAGGAACUGAAACUGCAAAGAAACCAGCAAGAAGACAGUGGCAAUCCUUGCUAUUUUUCUGGCUCUUGAGAACCAAAGGCUGCAGUAAGCGCAGUUACAUGAAGACUUGUGCAAUAGUCCACUGAACCUGUGUCUGAAGAUGACCUAAAAAUCCUUUCUAAGGAGUCUUGAACAGUUGCCUGGAGUAUAAAAGCAGCUUUGAUAUAAGUGGGCCAUCACUGGUAUGAAUGGGUCCUGCUUUGGCAAGGAAGUAACUUGAAUCUUGGUUGUAAUCCAGCUCUUUAUUUGUUAUGGGCAUCCAUACCUGCGGAUGGGAGAGUGAAUGGAAACCUGCUGAAAGGUACUGCACUGCACUGAUGGG